GAUGAACGCUGGCGGCGUGCCUAAUACAUGCAAGUCGAGCGAACAGACGAGGAGCUUGCUCCUUUGACGUUAGCGGCGGACGGGUGAGUAACACGUGGGUAACCUACCUAUAAGACUGGGAUAACUUCGGGAAACCGGAGCUAAUACCGGAUAAUAUUUCGAACCGCGUGGUUCGAUAGUGAAAGAUGGCUUUGCUAUCACUUAUAGAUGGACCUGCGCCGUAUUAGCUAGUUGGUAAGGUAACGGCUUACCAAGGCAACGAUACGUAGCCGACCUGAGAGGGUGAUCGGCCACACUGGAACUGAGACACGGUCCAGACUCCUACGGGAGGCAGCAGUAGGGAAUCUUCCGCAAUGGGCGAAAGCCUGACGGAGCAACGCCGCGUGAGUGAUGAAGGUCUUCGGAUCGUAAAACUCUGUUAUUAGGGAAGAACAAACGUGUAAGUAACUGUGCACGUCUUGACGGUACCUAAUCAGAAAGCCACGGCUAACUACGUG
rnacentral:rRNA from 1 species